GAACGGAACUUUUGGGACACGUCGCCAAGUAACCAGGACUUUAACUCUAUUGGAGUGUCCCAACUGGCCGCGAUGCAACGUUUUGAGCUGAACCUUUACCGGACGCCCUGUUGAGGGCGUUGAGCGCGCCGCAACAUGGACGAAGAACGGAUGAUUAGUUUAGAUAAAAUGAGCCGUCAGGGCCGCCGACAGCGGGAGAAAACCAGAUGGACCAUUUUGGAAUUCAGCUUAAAAAUCGAAGGCUUUCAACAGAAAUUUGACAAACCUGGUGUCCACCAUGGCAGACCAUCUGAAACAGGCUCUGGGGAGGUCCGGUGGGGAUGGUUUUGACAAAAACAUUUAUUGUAUUUAAUAAACAUUGUUCAUGUUAUAUUCAAAUUGUUGCUUAAUAAAUACAGAUUAAUUGUAGCCCGUGUCACGUGGUUUUCUUCGUCUUUUAAGUGGAAACUGUUGAUGUGUUAUAUGAC